GCUUAGAAAAAAAUGCAGUGUUUGGAGAACUUGCCUCCCUGUUGAGAGACCAAGCUCUGGGUGUAGGAAUUCCCCAUGUAUUCCAUCAAUAUUAUGUCCAGUUAAAAUAAUCUGGGGUUGGGGCACACCAUUGUAAAAAUGCUUUACCCAAACUGCUGCCAGACAAGAGUGGGCAAGAUUGGGUUGGCAAGUUAUUCUCCAAAGCGCCUGAUGGCAGAUCCAGAAAUAAUGGGUGGAAGAUCAUUAAAGAGAGACUAAGGAGAAGGUUCCUGACAGUAAGAAGCAGUGGUGAAAUGCAGCCGGUUCUGUCCGACUUGGGCGAACUGGUAGUGCCGGUGCCAGGAGGCUCCGCCCACCCACCCGGACGUCACCACGUCCCGAUUCUGAUGCUCUGCGCACACUCCGGUAGCGAAGGUGGAGUCUGGACAACCGAAUGGAGCUAGCAGAGUGUUUGAAUGGCCGGAUGCCGUUCCUGUCGCCAAUGCGGAGUUUUGUUCAGCAGAUAAUAUUCUCAGUGUGCCCAGAGAGAGAAAUAUCUGCCUCUACCUAGGAUCGAACUCACAAGCCUCCUGACUGUGAGACGAGAGCUGCACCUCUAGGCCAUCGCACCACUCACCUUGAUACUCUUCCAAAAGACCCUGAAGAUAUUAUUUUUGCCAGCGGGCUUUGGGAAUCCCAGGGUGAUAUAGAGCCCACUGAGUAGUUUGUAUCUAAACAUUCAUUUGCAAUCAUCCGCUUUAGGCAAAUGCAUAUAAAAAUCCAUCUAUCAUAUCUG